rnacentral:rRNA from 1 species
UACGGAGGGGGCGAGCGUUAUUCGGAAUCACUGGGCGUAAAGCGCACGUAGGCGGAUUGCUAAGUCAGGGGUGAAAUCCUGGAGCUCAACUCCAGAACUGCCUUUGAUACUGGCGACCUUGAGUCCGGGAGAGGUGAGUGGAACUGCGAGUGUAGAGGUGAAAUUCGUAGAUAUUCGCAAGAACACCAGUGGCGAAGGCGGCUCACUGGCCCGGUACUGACGCUGAGGUGCGAAAGCGUGGGGAGCAAACAGG